GACCUCGCUUCGUCCCCGGUGGGGCGGCCCGUCUGCAAAACGGGUGAUUCUGGUCGGGUUCGACUCCCGGCGAGGUCU
rnacentral:sRNA from 1 species